rnacentral:lncRNA from 1 species
UGCUGUAAUCAAAAAGUUUUUAAAAUCUACACAUGCUGCCUACCCGAUUUUCUAACACUAGCAUGCGACACAUGGCACAUGUUUAGAGGCUUUGGUCCACGGUUGGUUUAUAUGGGAUAGUUGUACGCAAUCUAUGCAUGGUCCACAGAUUGUUUUGCACGAUCAGUGAUGUGUGGGUACGAUCGGAUGGCUGCAAACGUAUGCAGGGG